rnacentral:rRNA from 1 species
CAGCAGUCGCCGCGGGAAUACGUAGGUCCCGAGCGUUGUCCGGAUUUAUUGGGCGUAAAGCGAGCGCAGGCGGUCAGAUAAGUCUGAAGUUAAAGGCUGUGGCUUAACCAUAGUACGCUUUGGAAACUGUUUAACUUGAGUGCAAGAGGGGAGAGUGGAAUUCCAUGUGUAGCGGUGAAAUGCGUAGAUAUAUGGAGGAACACCGGUGGCGAAAGCGGCUCUCUGGCUUGUAACUGACGCUGAGGCUCGAAAGCGUGGGGAGCAAACAGGAUUAGAUACCCCUGUAGUCCCUGUCUCUUAUACA